UGUCAUGUUUGGAUAGAAAGAAGAGGUGCAGAUGGAAGUCCCAUCCCCCAUUUCUGUUUCCCAGUCCAUCUCACCGUCUCCUUUGGAAACUGAAGGCAACACAGCGAUUAUUAGUUCACCAAAGGCAACAUCUGAGUACCCAAUCAUAUGCCUUGAGCCACUGGAGGCAAAGAGCUGUGGGGCAGAUGAUCUCUCGGAUGGGGUUCAGUCCAUGGAUGUCAGUCCAGUGUCCAGAGACGAGCUCGUUCCAGAAUAUUCCCCCAUCAGCGAGAUCUCACAGAACAGCAUGACUUCUGUGGCAUUGGGCGAUAUCCACAUUCUGACGGGGCAGGUCUCGCAUCCCAAAGUGUCUGCUGCUCCAGGUUUUGGUGACUGCAACAAGAACCUGAUCCAGGAUUGCAGUAGCGCUGCUAUUGACUCAUCACUUUUCCAGAGUCUCAGACAAGUCUCAGACUCCUCAGACAAGCUCAACAUCUAAUGCAAAGACACUAUUGAAGCAUGGGGCUGGAGUGCACUGAUGAAUUGGAGUUGAGCUGAAAGAUGAGAACAGCCCUUUGUGCCUCAGCAGCUUCCUGAAUAUCCUCUAAACAGAAGAACAGGGACUGAAUGUCAAAUCAUGUGUUAAUAGCAAAGAAGGGACAACCUGACAGUUGAUUCCCCCACACAUAAAAUAAAGUCCGCCUGAUCUUCGUAGAUAUUAUAUUUCACACCAUUUCAGCUUAGUAUCACCAGACAAAGCAACUGUAUUAGCGCAGUCCUAGUGGUCUUCUUAUUCUUGUUAUACACCUGUAGCAUUGAAGAGUGAUACACCGUGACAAUUGUAGCAGCUCCAUUGUGUAAUUUGUUUUAUUUUGGGUUGCAUAAAUGACCAGCAAACCGAGCAGUUAUGUGCUGAGUCUGCUAAUUGUGCUGUACUGUAUGGCUGGGUUUGCAAACAGUAUAUUGUGUAAAUCCAUUACUUCUCCGCGUCGUCUCUGCAAUCCAAGCUUUGUAGUCUGAAAGUGGAUAUGAAUAGAUGUAAAGUGUGAUAUUAUUCCACCAUAACACUGUUAUACUGGCAUUAAUGUAUUAUUAGUCAACAGCAGUUAGACGUUAUGGGGACGUAUACAGAAUAAAAGUGUACUUCUGAUGUAAUUUAUUGUGUAAAAGUUUAAAAAGGGACUUAAAAGUGCACAAUUUCAUUGUGUUAAAUAGCAUAGUGCUUUUAAUUCUUCAUAGACUUUUUCUGUAUUGUUUUGUUAUAUGACAUGAUUGCACACAGCUCUAUGCAGAUCAAGAAAACCAAGCAACCAUAAGAGCAACACAAAUCAAGGUAAUUCAGCGUCCCUACAAAUGUACAGCAGUGACUCAAAAGAUCUGUACUUCCUGAGUAUGUUGCUUAAAAUACUCUAUCAUCUUGUAUACUCAGGGUGCUAGUGCGCUUUGCAUGCGAGUUCAGUUCCUUUGAUGUUUGGUGGUGAUAUGAUGCUGUAGUGUAAAACUUCAGAUGUGCUGGAUUGCUUCAGGACCAAUAAGAAACACAUUUCUUGAAAGAUGGACGUAUCUAUCUGUCUGUCUGUCUGUCUGAACUUGGGAUGUUGAUUACAUUUGUGAUUGUACAGAGAGUGAUGGGUUAAUACUGUAAUUCAGCACUUCAAAAUGGCAUUUGAGAAAAGGUGCAUGAAUCAGCUGCUUUGAAGUUGCCGAAUCUUGAGAUAAUGACAUUACAAUAAAACAUGUAUCACACCAUGAUCUUUCCU
rnacentral:lncRNA from 1 species